rnacentral:rRNA from 1 species
UACGUAGGGACCAAGCGUUGUUCGGAUUUACUGGGCGUAAAGGGCGCGUAGGCGGCUUGACAAGUCACUUGUGAAAUCUCCGGGCUUCAACUCGGAACGGCCAAGUGAAACUGUUGAGCUAGAGUGUAGAAGGGGCAAUCGGAAUCUUGGUGUAGCGGUGAAAUGCGUAGAUAUCAAGAGGAACACCUGAGGUGAAGACGGGUUGCUGGUCUAACACUGACGCUGAGGCGCGAAAGCCAGGGAGCAAACGGG